GGAGCUGCGGCCUGCCCUUUCCAGGGGCUCCCAGUGGUUCUAGGGCCCUUCUCCUGUCACGUGUCUGAGAUCCAGAGGGCCAGGGCCCAGCUCCUGGGUUGACGAGCCACCUGUGCUGUGUUCCCGCAGGCUUGGAGCCCAGAAAUGUCUUUAGACCGUCUCCUGACUCGGGUGGGGUGGAACGCCUGGUACUUCUGGGCUGUGCUUGGAGCAGGAGAGCCUCAGGCACAGGACUCACUCUGUGCUUCGGUGACUUCUGAGGUCAGGCCCAUGGUUUUGUCGGAGCAGGUGCACCCUCGGGUCCCAUCCCUGCAGGGCGGGGCUGGUGCCCAGGGCGGUGGGAGCCCCUCUGGCCAUCACUCGAUUGUAGGGAUCUAUGCUUUUCUCUGCCUCAAUGAUCUGCGUUUGGCCUGGUUUCAAACGUUUGAAGAGAUGCCCGGGAUGCUGGUGGCAGGCCGUCUGUCCAGAUUGAAUGUCUUCUGGCUGUUUCCAUUGCUUCUGGCCAGCUGUGCUGUCCGGAGCACUUCUAGAGCCCAGCCCAGCCUGGGUCCCUGACAGCUACCACCAGAGGCCCGUGUCUGCAGGGAGUGGCCUCCCCAGGUCCAUGGCUUCGCUCGUGUAUGUGCCAGGCUGGGCAGGGGCUGGGGCUGGGGCAGGGAGGCCAGCAUGGCAGUCCAGGCGGCCUGGGCGACGCCCCCGAGGGAGAUCCUGUUCCUGCCAAUGGCAGGCACCUCAGUUUGCACAGAGGCUAAGCCAGGCGGGCGGGGGAGACCCUCCCUACCCUUAGGCGCUGGGUUCCACCAGCUCCCGACCUCAGAGGCCAGCCUUAGAAGUGAGUCCCGGCCCCAGGCUGUGUCCAGAUGGGGAGAUUGUGGGGGGGCUGUACACAUGGGACUCAGAACUGUCGGGGGGACGGGUGACAAGGGCCGGGACCCCCACUGGCUGGGUCCCUCUCCCCUCUGUGCUUUGUCAGGUUCAUUUCCAGGUGCGGGGCGUGGCACAGGGCUGACUCUGCCUUCCCAUCCUCUAUAGCCCCCCCUACUGCCCAUGUCUGUGUCCCUUAUGUCCUCGUCCUCCCUGGGUCGUGCUCUGUCCCCUUCAACCCCAGACCCUGGCUUUCUGGACUGGGGGGUGGAAGAUCUGCUUUGAUAUCUGAGCUGCCCUCAGCCCAGGGCCCAGCUGACGCAGAAGAGCUUCCCUGCUGCCUAGGGCUCUGGGCAGGGCCGUGCGGAGCGUGGCUGCAGCUGCGGGUGUGGGGCCAUGCGUGUGUACACGCGUGUGAAUAUGUGUGCAUGUGGAUGUGUAGUGCAUGUGCAUCUCUCUGUUCACAGUGGGUGCCAGGAUGUCCACGUGUGCACGGACCCUCGUGUGCAUGGGUGUGAGUGUGUGCCCGUGUGCGUGCACACGUCGGUAGCAUUCAGAGGCCUGAGUCCCACCCCAGCCAGACCUGCAGAGUCUGGGUAUCUGGGUUGGAGGUCGCCCACUCCCCUCAGAACCCAGCACCCGCCUUGUGCCAGGCUUGGUGCAGCGCCUGUGGUCUGAGAGGGCCCAUAGCCUGGGCACAGGGACAGCAGGCAGGGCCAUCGUGUGUCUAGGUCUGGAGGUAGGGCACUUGGCAUGGUGGGCGAUUGUGUGGGCUGUGGGGCUGCUGCAGGCCUAGAACCGGGGACCCCAGGCGAGGGUCCCCUUGUGCAGGAAGAGAGGAUGCCCAGGGGAGGGGCCUGGGUGCAGGGGGACAGGAGGCCACCGAGGGACCCCAGGGUUGGGACUCCCGCCUGUGGGGUUUCAGGAUCACCAGACAUGCUGGGAGCCUUCUCCCUCCGUGCAUGCCGGGCAGAGGGGCCAUCCUCACCCGUGGGCACAUCCCCAGUGUGAAGGCAGCUUUCUGUCUUGACGCUGCGGUUCAGAGUAACUGUCAGGUUUCCUUUGCUGAAGGAGGCUUUCCGGGAGCAGAGCCGCCUCCAAUGGACGAGUGGGCCUUGCUGCACACGCAGCGGCCCUUGGGGGCCCAUGGCACCACGUGCCCAGGUUGGGGGAGGUCAGAUGCCACACUCCAGACAAGAAUGGAGGCCCUCUGAGGACCCUGGGACCCUGGCCCUCCAGACGGCCCUGCUGCUUGGCCCCUUGUCCCCUGCGCCGUCCUCCUGGCGCCCUUCUCAGCGGCUGCCAGCGAGCCCGUGUGAGAUGCGCCUGCCACAUCUGCACCCACAUCUGUAUAGCUGGGCGGGGCGUCUGCUCUGGGACACUGUCCCCGCUGGGCAAACUUGGCUGGCCGUGAGCCCUGGGAGGGCAGCGGGCUUCCUUGUAGCCUCGCGCUGGAGAGGCGUGAGGACCUGCUCUGAAGUAGUGCCUUCUCCUUGGCGCCCUUGCCUGGUUUCCUUAUGGGAGAAACAGUUCCUUGUUACGAGAACGCGGUGCCUUCCUGAAGCCACGGUGGCCGAGGGGAUCUGCAGGGCACCCGCUGGAGCUUCUUUUCCAAGGUGGCUGCUUCCCCAGAUACCACGAGGCCUGCCGCGUGGGUAAGAUGCUUGGUGAGCACAUCUGGGGAGUCACUGGUUUAGCCUAAGGGUUUGGAACUAUCUCUGUUACGUGAUCUUCUUUUUUGGCCACGCCUGCAUGUGAAAGUUCUCGGGCCAAAGAUUGAAGCAGAGCCACAGCAGCCACCUGAGCCGCUGUAGUGAUAACACUGGAUCCUUCACCCACCAUAAGAGAACCCAUCUGAUACGUUAUUUUAAAGCCAAUCUUCACUUCCAGAAAUUCCAAGGGGUUGCCAGGUACUCACCGUGUCCCCGGGGGACCCUGCAGUGGGACCCAUUUCUGAAGUUACUUGUUCAAGGGUCAGAGAUGAGGCGUGAGCUAAGAGCCUCUUUGUGGCUAGAGUCGGUGUCCAGGUGUCUGACGGUGAAUGGAGCUGCUGAAAGAGUGCAGGUGCUAUGGAUAGGUGGGUGGGGACUUGGGGGCACCCAGCUUGCUUGAACCAGGGCUGUGCCCCAGAAGGUGGGCGAGCCGGGGCCAGCACCAGGAAGUGCCCUUGAUGAAGAGGCUGAGGGUGACAUAGCACUGCACCCUGGACCCCCCUGCCCCUACCUGGAUGUGGCAACCACAGCCUGGCCGGACUCAGCUUCAGCGCUUGGAAUCCCCAGUGGCUGGAGCUCAGAGGAGCGCACCAGAAUCUUUUCCUUGGAGUUCCUGUCAUGGCUCAGUGGAAAUGAAUCCGACUAGCAUCCAUGAGGAUGCAGGUUCGAUCCCUGGCCUCGCUCAGUGGGUUAAGGAUCCGGUGUUGCCGUGAGUGUGGUUUAGGUUGCAGAUGCGGCUCCUGUGUUGCUGUGGCUGUGGUGUAGGCUGGCAGCUGUAGCUCUGGUUCUACCUCUAGCCCGGGAACCUCAUGUGCCGCAGACAUGGCCCUUAAAAAACAACAAAAAAGAAUCUUUACUUUAUAACUUGUUCUUAUUUUAUUUUUAUGAUUGAAACUUCAAAGGUACAUGGAGUAGAGGGACCAGCAGGGCCAUUUCUUGGGUACAAGCCCUGAACUCCAACAAGCUGUCAACAUUCUACCCUUCUUCUUUCAAAAGACAGUAAUCCUAAACAUUUUUAUUAAUUUGAAAACAGAGAGCUAAUAGGCAAUUAUGUUAAUUUGACAAAACACUUGUGAGUGAUGUUGAAAAGCCAGCCAGGCUUUUAAAAAAUGACAGGAGCACCACCCAGCCUGGUGACAGGGCAGAGGCAGGAAGGGGUCCCAGUCAGAGCGCCUGCAGGGAGGCGCUGCGAGGGACCUCUCGUCCACACCGCUGGCUCUCAGCAGGAAAGGCUCCGAGUCCUGUGCUGGGACCAUCUGGGCGGAGGCAGGAUGACAAGGGAACAAAUUUAGUGGAGAAAUUUGAAUACUAGAUGGGGUGCCUCAGGAUUGGGGGGUCAGAAGGCUGCAGAGUAAAGGGAAGGAAGCCCUUGCAGGCAGAGGCACCAGUGAGAGAGUGUGGUGCCUGGGAGAGUGUGGUCUCCCCAGAGCUUCACACUGCGUGCACCCCGCCUGGCACACCGGGUGGGGGAAGGGGACAGAGAGACCCUCCUGGGAGAGUGGGCAGAGCACAGAGUCUUAUUUUUAUUACAGAAAUUUGCUGUGGAGGUGGGACCCUGUCCUGGAGACCAUGGGGUUGCGAGAGCAGUGACAGAGGGUGCAGGUGCAGUGGGAUUUUGAGAGCCCUGGCCAGGGGGUGUGGGUGCAGUGACCAUGGAUGAUGCUGGUCCCAGCAGAUAUUCUUCCGCUAACAUUUGAACUGUUUUCUUAAUUGCCACGAACCUUGUAAACUGGUUUUUUCUUUGCCGUGUGUGUUAUUUCCCCUUAGAAGGGUCCCUCUGAGAAGAACACACAUCAGGCCACUGCUUUUCCUGUUUAACUGUCCAGUGUGUAAAUCCUAAGUGCCCUUCAUUCCUGAGGUGCCGGGGUGUGUAUGUGUGUGUGUGUGUGUGUGGUCCUUCCUGAAGCCCCUCGGGGAUGGGCUGGGGUCCGCUGGGUCCAGGUCUGACCUGGUGCUUAGUUCUUUCCCCGUCUGGCUUCUCGUCAUGUACUUGGGGCUGACCACAUGCCUUUGGGGCGAGCCCAGAAGAAUUUCACUGCAGGACAGAGGGCCGGGGACGUGAAUGUGUGAAACUCAGGUCACAUGUGCUUCAGCACCUAAAGGGGGCUUGGCUCCAUCUCUCAGCCCCCCCGCCCCCAGCCCUGUUCUGAGGUGGACCCUUCCCCCUGGAGGAAAGGGAGGAGUUUCAGGGGUGAGGGGCUCAGGGUCGAGGCUCUGGCCCUGUGUCUACCUGGACGUGUCACCGUGCUGGGGGGAGAACUCUUGGCCAGGUGGGAUCAGGCCCCGCCUGCCUGAGCCCUGUGGGAUUGGCGCGAGCCUGGGUCUCACCCCGGAAGCAGUGCAGGGCAGACCCCGUCCCUGGGUCCCCAUGGGGACCAGGGCCCUGAGCAGCCCCUUGGCUGGGACCACAGUAGCCCCAGUGGUCCUGGUGCCAUCACCCCUGGGGAGAGCUGCCCCAGGCAGGGUGUGGUCCUGCUGAUCCCUGGUCAUAGUUUAUGGGCAGCUGUGUGCCAGCCCCAGCCUGGCCUCGGAGCCCAGAGGAUGGGCUGCCUUGCCACACUGAAGAGGCAUCUGUUUGGCCAGUGUCUGCUGCCAGAGGGUCCCCCAGGAGUGGGGGCACUUGGAGAUCCCCCAGGGAGGCAGUCCACAGAGGGGCGUUGAGAUGGGCCACGAGCCUUUCCCACGUGGCCCCCACAGAUGCCUGGGCACAGUUCCCCUGCGUACCAUCUGCUGAUGGGGCAGGAAGCCUCCAGCUCACCUGGCCUGGCGAGAUGAGCGCCGCCUUUGGUGACCCCGCCCCUACUCCCCUGCUCCAGGUUACCUUGCCUGGCCUGGCUUCUAACUCACCUGGUCCAGGUGCCGUUCUGGGGAACUUCCUGGAGAGCCCACGUUGACCUGCUGCUGUUGCCUCCUUGUGCUGAGCAGUGAGUGACGUCAGGAUCCCCAGGGACCUGCCAGGAGCGAGGCCGGCCUGGACUGGGCCUCCCCUGAGGAGGGCCUGGGAUCGAACUCCUGCUCCAGCUGUGGCGGGUGAGGCUUCCUGAUGCCACCUCUCUCCCCACUCCCCCCCUGCAGCCUGUGGUCACCUCCGUCUCUGAGAAGCUCACGGUGACCCCAGCUGUUUCUGCACAGCAGGCGCUAAGCCAUGUGCCUGUUCUCUGCACCUCUGGCCAGGUGAUGAGUUCAGAGAACUUCAUGGGAAGAAUGAAAAGUCCUGACCCCUGGGGAGAACCUUGGGGGUGGCUGGUUUGGAUCAGGAGCUGCAGUGGGCGUGUGGGGAAGCUCUGGUCUGGGAAGAUGUGGGGGCACGCCCGGUCCCCGUGCUUGACAUCAAGAGGGCUCCAGGUGGGAGUGACAGGUGGUUGGCGGAUGCCCUCACCCAGUCUUCCUGAAGCCUCCCUUUCCGCCAGUGACCCCGUUUCAAGAUAUCACUUUGAUGGGGUCCCCUGGAGUAGGGGGCAGCUCCCAGCCCACUGGGCGGGGAGGAGUGGGGGCAGUUUCCUACUGUGUGAAGGGCCCGCAGGUGCUUGGAAGGUGGGGUGGAGUGGGAGUUCGGGCUUUGCGAGGGAGCCGCUCAGGUUUCCUAACUGCGGUUGGUGGUGGUCCUGCUCGCAGGACAGUUUUGCAGCUGAUCGAAGUGGGGAGGUGAGGAGGUUCCCCUGUGGUUCAGGGGUGACAGGCCCGACUAGUGUCCACGAGGUUGCAGGUUCGAUCCCUGGCCUUGCUCAGUGGGUGAAGGAUCCAGCAUUGCUGUGAGCUGUGGUGUAGGUUGCAGACGUGGCUCGGAUCCCGUGUGGCUGUGGCUGUGGCUGUGGUGUUGGCCGGCAGCUGCAGCUCUGAUUGGACCCCUAGCUUGGGAACCUCCAUAUGCCCCAGUGCAGCCCAAAAAAGCAAAAAAGAAAAAAGAAAAAAAAAA
rnacentral:lncRNA from 1 species